rnacentral:rRNA from 1 species
AUGAUGGAUAGGCCAAGUACUUCUACCAACCCACUCUUCAUGGAGCAAGACGACGACAUGUCCUCCUACGUCACAAAGAGCCGCCUCUUUGGUGCACAACGAGCUUUGCAUCAAGAGCAAAAAGCAAUGAGCAAACACAUCGGCAACCUCGUCACCGACUUGCGACUCUCCGAGCAACGUACAAGAGACUACUUCGACAACAAUCUCGACGAACACAAACAAGAGAAUGACGCAAGAAUGGAUGAGAUUCGUGCUUUGUUGGCCAACCGCUCUUCUACCACUUCGUCCUACUCAAGAUGGAGCCGCUCGAGUUGA